rnacentral:rRNA from 1 species
CCUACGGGAGGCAGCAGUAGGGGAAUAUUGGUCAAUGGACGCAAGUCUGAACCAGCCAUGCCGCGUGAAGGAUUAAGGUCCUCUGGAUUGUAAACUUCUUUUAUCUGGGACGAAAAAAGGCGAUUCUUCGUCACUUGACGGUACCAGAUGAAUAAGCACCGGCUAACUCCGUGCCAGCAGCCGCGGUAAUACGGAGGGUGCAAGCGUUAUCCGGAUUCACUGGGUUUAAAGGGUGCGUAGGCGGGCAGGUAAGUCAGUGGUGAAAUCCUAGAGCUUAACUCUAGAACUGCCAUUGAUACUAUCUGUCUUGAAUAUUGUGGAGGUAGGCGGAAUAUGUCAUGUAGCGGUGAAAUGCUUAGAUAUGACAUAGAACACCUAUUGCGAAGGCAGCUUACUACGCAUAUAUUGACGCUGAGGCACGAAAGCGUGGGGAUCAAACAGGAUUAGAUACCCUGGUAGUCCACGCCCUAAACCGAUGAUUACUCGACAUUUGUGAUACACUAUAAGUGUCUGAGCGAAAGCAUUAAGUAAUCCACCUGGGAAGUACGACCGCAAGGUUGAAACUCAAAUGAAUUGACGG